rnacentral:rRNA from 1 species
CAGCAGCCACGGGAAUACGAAGGGUGCAAGCGUUAAUCGGAAUUACUGGGCGUAAAGCGUGCGUAGGCGGUGAGUUAAGUCUGCUGUGAAAUCCCCGGGCUCAACCUGGGAAUGGCAAUGGAUACUGGCAAGCUAGAGUGUGUCAGAGGAUGGUGGAAUUCCCGAUGUAGCGGUGAAGUGCGUAGAGAUCGGGAGGAACAUCAGUGGCGAAGGCGGCCAUCUGGGACAACACUGACGCUGAGGCACGAAAGCGUGGGGAGCAAACAGGAUUAGAUACCCCCGUAGUCCCUGUCUCUUAUAC